UGUCAAUCAUACUGGAUUCUUCUAAAUAAGCCGUGAUGAAGUUUGUGUGGAAUCGGCUGUUGCAGCACAGUCGGUUUGUCUCUGACUGCAAGGACAAGGAGCCAGAUGUUCUGUUUGUGGGGGACUCCAUGGUACAACUUCUGCAGCAAUAUGAGGAAAGCACAAGAGAACAAAUGUGAGUUUACAGAAGAACCUCUAUGCCAGGGACAGAACAUCAUCAGCUUACAGAUGGGAAGUAACCAAGGAACAUCACAGGCUGGAAUGGCAAGCUAUGGACUUGCCAGGCAAAUUACCAAAUUACCAGUUAAAAAAAAAUAUCAAUUGAGCACUCUUUGAAAAGCAAGGUUUUAACCAUUUCAAAGUGAAUAUAAGUUCAAAGAGCCCAAUACACUAAAACAUUCAAUGAAAUAAAUGGUGUGAUUUGGACAGGUAGUAUUUAUUACGUGGAAGUCUAAAAAGAUAUCCUUUGUCCUUACGAAGUCUUGCUUCCCUCCACCUGAUAUGAACUAUAACAUUUGCUUUAGUAUAUGAACCUUUCCAUCACACAUUUAGCCUUUAAAAAUUACCACUAACUGCAAGGACUGCUGUCAUAUUGCUAACUUGUUGCUUUCUUAUGUAUGUGGGGUAGAGCAGAUGUAUUACAGAAUGCUGGCAAAGUUUAUUGGUUGUAUGGCUUAACAAAUCUGCUAUAUGUUGUUUCAUUUUAAAUCUCAUCACAGUCCAGUUGGUAAAAAGAUGUCAUUUUUAUCAAUAAAAAAAAAUCUGUGAAGAUACUGAAGUUUGAAGACACUAAAAUUGUCCCUUUUUUCAUAUUGAGUCACUCUUGAAAUAAUUAGCACAUUGAUAACUGAAUAUUUUGUUAAAUGGACAAAGUAAUUUAAACAGAGCACCUAAUUAUCAUCAUAAUAAUGACCUUUUAGCAAUCAUGAAAAUUAUGUUGCUGCUCAAGUUAUUAUGUAUUUCGCGAGUUGCUUCAUAUGUUCCAAAUAUCAUCAGUCAUAUAUUUUUGCUUUUUGUCACAUGCUAAUUUAUAAGGGAUGUUACUUCCUGGUAAACCUGUUUUUUAGUGCAGCAUAUUAAUAUUAACUUGCACAAGUUUGAGCACAAUUUAGUAUUUGGAAUGACAGUAUUUAUGUCCCGAGGCAAUAAAUGGCUGAUGUUGUAGGGUUAUUAAUAGCAGGUUAUAUUGUAGGAAGAAUCAAAAUUUAUAAAGUCAGAUUAUUUUAAGUGUCCCUGCUGAAAAUGAUGUACUUAUUUUUUGCCCAGUGACAACAAUAUGUGUGACCAUAAGAUAUAGGAGCAGAAGAAGGCCAUUUGGCCCAUCAAGUCUGCUCCAUCAUUCAAUCACGUGCUGAUCCAAUUCUUCCAGUCACCCCCACUCCCCCAUCUUCACCCCAUUCCCUUUGAUUAUCUGAAUAAUCACUACUUAUCUAUCUCUGCCUUAAAUGCAUCUGGUGACUUGGCCUGCAUAGAUGCUCGUGGCAUAAAAAUUCCACAAAUUUGCCCCUCUCUGAUUAAAGUAAUUGCUCUGUAUCUCUGUUCUAAAUGGAUGUCCUUCAAUCCUGAAGUCGUCCCCUCUUGUCCUAGAAUCCCCUACAAUGGGAAGUAACUUUUCCAUUUCUAAUCUGUUCAAGACUCUUAACAUUUGGAAUGUUUCUAUGAGAUCCCCCUCAUUCUCCUGAAUCCAAGGAAUACAGCCCAAGAGCGGCCAGAUGUUCCUCAUUUGAUAACUCCAUUCAUUCCUGGAAUCAUUCUUGUGAAUCUUCUUUGAAUCCUCUCCAAUGUCAGUAUAUUCUUUCUAAAAUAAUGAGCACAGAACUGCACAUAAUACUCUGUGUGGUCUCAUGACUGCCUUCUAGAGCCUCAACAUCACAUUCCUGCUCUUAUAUUCUAUAGAUCUAGAAAUGAAUGCCAAUGUUGCAUUCGCCUUCUUCACCACUGACUCAACCAGCAGGUUAACCUUUAGGAUAUCCUGCACAAGGACUCCCAAGUUCCUUUACAUCUCUGCGUUUUGAAUUCUCUCUUCAAACAAUAGUCUGCCUGUUUAUUUCUUCCAUCAAAGUGCAUGACCAUGCACUUCCCAACAUUGUAUUUCAUUUGCCACUUCUUUGCCCAUUCCCCUAAACUAUCUGUCUCUCUGAUUCCUCGACACCACGUGCUCUUUCACCUUUCUUUGUAUCAUCAGCAAAUCCAUUAAUUCCCAUAGUCCAGAUCAUUGACAUAUAUUAUAAAUUUCAGUGGUCCCAACACCGACUCCUGUGGAACUCCACUGGUAACCAGCAGUCUGUA